rnacentral:lncRNA from 1 species
AUUACAGCCUGUCUAAAAUCAAUUCUCCCAAAAAUAAUAACUAACUUUAUUUUAUUUUACCUAAAAUGAUCUUCCAUUCAGUCUCAGUGGAGGGGGAUUAAGAGGUACCACGCGGCAAGAACUACAUCCGUUUUCUGAUUUACUAAAGCUGGUACCGACGCAAGUGCACCAAACUAAGCAGAAACAAAAACCAACACAAUGAAAAGCAGCAUCUUCCGGCAGCUUUUAUCGAUAUAAAACUAAUAAAUAAAACAAGUGGUUCCGUGUAAUAAUUAAAAACCUGAAAGUAAUUUGUAAGGACACAAUUUAUGCAUUGGACAGAUGCAUUUAGUAAUGAGGUGACGACAUGCGAUGUGGUGGGGACCAUACCACUUCGUUCUCACUGCGCUCUCUUGGCACUCCUUGUUUGUACUUUUCAUGCAUAUUGACGGAUGGUAAUCUAAGGAGACUGCUCUCCUUUUCGUAAAGACGUCACCUUUUAAGUAAAUUCACCUUUUGCAAUGGUUGAUGACCGAACAUCAACUUAAUUAUUUCGUCCACCCCACCAGUGGCAACCGAUAUAUUCACUGUACUCCUGGUCUUGGGCAUGGUCUGCCUGCUGCUCAUCUUCUUCGGCAUAGAGUCUACAUAGAAGGAGGGAGCUGCUGCGUAACGAAGAAGCCUAACCAAAGCUCGUACAUAUUUUGAUUUUGUUGUUUAAAUUUUAAUUAUCGGCUUUUAUCAAGACUUGUUGCCUAUGCGUGUGAGCUCUGUCGUAUUUCUUAAGGACCGAAGUCAUGAGAUUUUUGGUUAAAAUUUUGUUGCACUUUUACUCCCCGUUCAAUCCCAUAUGCAUUCAACCUUAAAACGAUUCUUUAAGAUAAAUAAAU